rnacentral:rRNA from 1 species
UACGAAGGGUGCAAACGUUAUUCGGAAUCACUGGGCGUAAAGGGUGCGUAGACGGUAUGUUAAGUUCGUUGUUAAAGGCUCUGGCCUAACCGGAGUACUGCGAUGAAAACUGGCACACUAGAGGGUGAGAGAGAAGUGGAAUUCCCGGAGUAGCGGUAAAAUGCGUGGAUCUCGGGAGGAACACCAAUGGCGAAGGCAGCUUCUUGGCUCAUUCCUGACGUUGAGGCACGAAAGCGUGGGGAGCAAACAGG